AGCCAUGCCAAAGACUCCACAGUCUGCACUGAACUACAAAACCAGUCCUGGUGCAGAAGCUAGGAGGUCUUGCUCAUCUUCUUCUUGCACUGACGGCACUUGCUGUGGAAAAGCAGAGGACCCAGACCCACCCCAAUACUCCAGGUUAUGUCCUGUCUUAUGGACUACUACAGAAUCACUAACAGCAUCGCACACAAAGGCACCACGGGACUCCCACCGUCACCAGAGCUCUCCGCCUGCCUCUGGCGCUGGGCUGUCAGAACCGCUUCAGCUGAAAUCAAGUUCUUUAGAUUUAUGCAGUAGCCAUGUUUGUCAAAGUAUUUGGCACCGGUGACAUCAUCUUUGUUGAAACGCCGGACGGCGUGAUGAGUCCCAGAUGUUAAUGCACACUGAGAGUCGAGAAAGAAUAAAAUUCAAAGGUCGACGCUAACAACUAUGGAGGAGUGCACUCACUUUACAUUCUGGGGUACAUGGAUGAAUACGUGUUUUUUUACAACGCAUCCUAAAGCUGUUAAACCUUAGAGGCCAUUUAAAAGAUGAGCAAGAACAAACAACGUGAUUAAAGGGUGCUGCCGAAAGCUGCUCAUUACACAGAUGAAGCUGUCAACUUUUAAUUUAUAGACAAUUUGAGAAGGGGUACAUGAAGACUUGAAAAGAAGGCUUUCUUUUGCUAAAAGGAAAAAAAGAACUGUUAUUAAGAACCUCUGCUGAAAUGCACUGGUCAUCAACACAGGAUACUGGAAGAUUCAGAGGGUGAGAGAAGACUGUUCGUACAGAAACUAGUUCCAAGGCUGGAAAAACCAGAUGAUGAUGUGUUGAAUUGAUGUUGAUGAAGACUAUAUUUUGGAAACUUCAAUUAGAGCCAAAGAAUGUUUCCAGGGUGAAGCAGAAGAUGUGAGAUCAAAAUAGACACUGUCUUCUUGAGCUUUACUGACUGCAAAAACAGAAGAUACUCUGCUGAGUGAUGUUUUUGUCCUGUCAUGUCCUAAGCUUCCACAUCCCCCUGUUCAAACAAAUGCCAGGCAGUCCCUGUGUUGGCUGCAGAAGGAGUUUGAGCAUGCAGACCAAGAUUAGAUCAUAACCAGAGUCUGUCUGAAACCUUGUCUGCCAGUAAGAACAGCAGCCGAGUUAAGAUGUAUCACAGCAAUGAGCUGCCUCACUAAAGCUGACUGAACAUUGAGUCUUGACUGCCUGCUUAUGACUGCACGUAACCUUUUCAAAAGCACCCAAAUACCUUAGAAGCUUGAUUCUCAUUGCAAGUUGGAUAGCUGAAGGUUCCCACAACCACUUCUGUUUUCCUGGAUACCCGUCAACUGUUCACACUCAGAGACCUUGGAAGGGUAACCAACUUUGAAGAUUUUGUAGCUGGCUUUUUGCCUGAAGGGAAACUGUUGAGUUUCAUCUCAUCCCUGUUGUGGUUAAUUCCAGGACACUGGGAAAGACCCCGAGCUCUAAACGCUGGAUUAAGAUCUUCACUUCAGCAGCUGAGACAAUCACAGUAAACUGGGAAAAAGAGUCCUGAGGGCAAAAAGAAAGAAGAUCUACCUGGUGGUGGCAGAACAAAAAGAUUAUACAACCAUGCAAGAAGAAUGUUAUUUAAGAGAAUCCUCAAAGGCCACUCUAAGGAUUGCUGCUGAGAAUAAAGCGUCUGAGAUGGAUUAUGUUCUUACAACAAAAGAGUUUAAAGUAAAAGGUUCGGUCUUGCAAGAUGUGAAUAUAAGAAGCUAUUUUCAACUGGAAAGUCCAUGGAAGAGAUUUCGGAACAAAGAGGAGAAAAUCAACAGGAUCUAAUUGUGAGGAGCAGAUGAUACAUCUCCAGGUGGAACUCAAAUGUGAAAUUGCAGAAUUUUGUCUUUGGUACCAAGUGCAAAGAGUGAGUAAUGUGGUGAUCAGAGGAAAGGCUGACUGUCUGGAAAGAAGCUGGGCCCAGUAAAACAGAGGUUGAGAGAGGACACAGUUGCUAUCUAUAAAUAUAUUAUGAGAACUCCUGUCUGUUGGUAGGUGACUACUUCAUCAAGUUGGCUUUUCACUUGGAUAGAAGAACCAGAAAAUGAACCUGGCACUAGAGGAAGCCUGUGUUCCUUCCACAGCUGGGGAAAGCAGCGGGCCUUUCUAAAGCAAGAUUCACAGAAGCAUAUACCAGACUCUUGAUGCUGGAUGUGAAGGCAGAAACAAUUUACUGUUUUAAAACAACGAGCCUGUUCCUCAGGAGACACUGGUAAAAUUCAUGUGAAGGCACGCACUAGCUUCCUUGACUGCAAUGCAAUCCAAACUCAGGCUUGAAAACCCAACAAUCAGAGUAUUGCGUCAAGCUGAGAAUGUGUGGGUUGCUGUCCUCUGCUCAGCUGCUUGUCUCACCUCUUCAGCAAAAACUAAAGCCCUGGAAGCUGGAGGAGGUCAGACCUUCCCUGCAUUGCUAAGACAUGGGGACAAAUUGGCAUCUAUAGAACAGAUCUGCAUUGCCUCCCUUGAGCAUUUUUCCAAGACUGAACAAAUGUAGAAGAUGAUAUUGUACU